CGCACCUUGCGCUCCUUGGUAUUCCGAGGAGCAUGCCUGUUUGAGUGUCAUGAAAUCAUCAACUUACAAGCCUUUGCGGGUUCUGUAAGCUUGGACUUGGAGGUUUUUUUGUUGGCUCAGCAGUCAACUCCUCUUAAAUGCAUUAGCUCGAUUCCUUGCAGAUCGGCUCUCGGUGUGAUAAUUAAUUUACGCCAUGACCGUGAUGUAUAUUGGUGGGCUUCUAACUGUCUCUUUAGAGACAAAUAUUCUGACCUCUGACCUCAAAUCAGGUAGGACUACCCGCUGAACUUAA
rnacentral:misc_RNA from 1 species